GUUAACUGUAAAGUUUAAACUGAACGUCAAUGUUCUACCAAUUAUUUUGGGGGACCGAAAAGAUCGGAUAUAACCCCCAAAACUGUAAAGAGCACUAUCUUGCCCGGUAAAAAGAAAAAAGCUAUCUUUGCUUUGAUGUGCAGUGUAUAACGACUUCCCUUCUCUGCUUUUUAGUUGUUACGGUAAUACAUAUACAUGAUUUAAUGGCAAGAUGUUCUCUGUUUCCAAAUGUCAAAGAUGGUAAAUUUUUUUCCUGAAGAUGCUUGCUUGCACGCCAUCUGCAACUCAAUUAUAUACAUGGUUUGAUGACAGAUGAUGAGAUUUGCUGAGGUUCAAUCAGGAAGGAAACGUAUCUGGGAAAUAAAUGCAGGGAUGAACUCCAUAGUGAUUCAAGCUGCAAGUAUUUGUCUUUGGCUGGCAUACAGGAAUGAUUGGUGCUAGUUUUGAUGUCAAAAACUAUGGUGUAAAAGCUGAUGGAAAUCAGAUGAUAGUCAGGCUAUCAUUAGCGCUUGCAAGUAUCCUAAUGAACAACCUGUUGCUGGGAUUUCAAUGAGGAGUUGCUCCCUCUUGAAUACAAUGAACAUAGUAAGGAUCAAGAUUUGACUGGCUUCUCCAGAUGGUGUUUCCUGUAAAGUGAACUUUGAAUACACCAUCAUAGACAACGUCAGCACAUCUAGCAUACUAUCCUGACAGAUCAAUGGUAUGUUUUUCAAAGUUGCGCCUAACUCUUGUUUAUUGAAUAACCUGAUUGGUGUAAUAUGCAAAUAACUUUUUUUUUUUUUGAAGUUUCCUUCAAGGGUUCAGAUCAGUGAUAAUAGCUUUAGGAACAUUCAGGUCAAUUGGCAACAAAGGUAGAACUGAAACAUCAAUUUGGCUUACCAUGGAAACAAUGUCAAGCCCUUUCUCUCCUGCCAUGACAUCAACUUCUUAAUUAUUUUUUUUACUAAUAGUUCACGAAUUAUUGCUGCUAUUGCACAUGUGCACGAGUAGUUCGCUGGUAUAAUUGUGAGAGUUUACAACAUAUAUGUGUAUAUAGAGGCACAAGAUAGCCAUUCCCUUCAUACUGUAUCCAUGAAUCAUGAUGAGUUUAUUGAGUGGUGAAGUAUGUAUUGUAUAUGCAACAAUCAAACGACCUGAAUAAUACAAUACAAUUCUCACCAAAUGGAAGGACCAAUAUAUUGUAUAUGACAGAAAAAAUGGGGAAUCUGAAUGGGGUAUAUCCUCUUACAAAAGCAUAAAUUAAUUAAUUCAAUGUGUGACAAAAGUUUACAGGAAGAAGGCAGCAGAUCCACCCACCAUUGCCAAGAUCAGGUUGAGAGGACUCAAGCUCAUAAUCUUGUGGGAAGAGGAUGGAGGUGAAGAAGUUGGAGAUGUUGAGUCGCCACUGAUGCCUUUGUCAGAAGCUGGAGCAUCUGCAGCAGGGGCAAUGUCUGGAGAUGGUGCUGGUGCCGGGGUGGGGGGAAUAUCUGUCCCAAAGAUGGCUUCGGGAAGGAGAACUUUGUCCACCUGAUAAAUGGCAACGGGGUAAGUUGCAUGCACUGCACUGCUAAUUUUGGUACUGGUCCAUCCAGAGUUGAGGUGCACAGUCCCAGACACAUCAGUGAAAUUCAGGGCACUAAGUUGUCCACCCGCAAAGGUACUGAUAGGACCGACUUGGCUGAGGUUUCUGAAGUCGGAGAGCGAGUAGUAAUGUGGCAACGCAUGGUAAAGGAAGACAGAUUUGAGCUGGUCAGCGGUGAGAUUAGAGAGUGACUGCUUCGUUGUCUUGGAGAAGGCAUCAUCCUUGGGCACAAAGAGAGUAAGCCCUUCUUCAGUGUUGUUGGCUUGGUUUUGGAAAGUUUCCGCUACUUUGGUGGUCUCAAUGUAGUUAAGGAAAGUGUGGAAAGGUCCAGCAACAGAUAGCAAAUCUGUUAGAUUCACAAAGUCUGGGGCUGGCGCAGGCGCGGGAGACAGAGAAAUGCUUUGGGCAUUCACUGCCGGCAUCGAGCAAGAAAAGAUCAGCAGACUAGCAAUCACAAACACAAAAUUGUAAUCCAUCUUACAGGUUGUACUUCCCCAAUCCCCAUGUUACUCUUAAUAAUACAGCAUUCGAUGUAACAAAUGGGGGACCGAACACAAACGAUUGCAUAAUGGAGAAGUGAUGUGGCCUUCCUUGGAUACCUACUGGUCAAUUGCCAAUUCACUGUUUGAUUGGUAGAUUGCCAGCUCAUAUGCUUGCCGAAAUGAUUUUCUCAUGGCCGGUAGCCGUGGGAAUAAUAUUACAUUCGUUUUCAUAUUUUAUUUUAUUUUUCAUUUAUACUGGUAUUAUAUCUUCUUAUUGGUCGAUAAAAAAGAAGUGAGUUACAA